rnacentral:lncRNA from 12 species
AUGGAAAAUCCAAACCAGCCUCCCCGGGGUGCAGGCUGCUCGGUGCUGCCUUCCUGGGAUUCCUCCCCUGUGGGUUUUAUCAGGGUCUCCGGAUGUUCUCAAUUCAGAGGCAGCACAUCCCUCCGGGGAACCUGGGUCACCCGCGGCUGGUCCCACCUGCACACCCCCUGCUGUGAACCCCAGCUGAGAAGCCCCUCAGCCCUGCUUGGAUCCCCUGAGCCAGCCUGCCCUCCGGGGCGAUGCCAGCAUCCCCGAGUGAUGACACGACGACGACGACGGAGAGCUACGGCUGCUGCUGCGAGGAUCCUCCACGUGUCAAACCCGCCCCGCCCUCUGAAGCCCACGUGGCAGCAGGAUCACCCCCCCUCCCCCCCAGGGAAGGCUCCAGGGCAGGAUUCCCUUGCUCGUCUUUGGCUUCUGCCAGCAAUCCACAGCAUCUUGGGCUGCAUCACUGGCUGUCCUCUCUCUGGGUCCCUGUGCCGUCAUCACACGGUCUUCUUGCAGAUUUGCCAGUCAUUGAUUUCAGAGCCACUCCUAAUUCAGCAGGAUCUCGACUUGAUUUAAUACCAUCCACAGAGACCCUGUUUGCAAAUAAGAUCACGCUCACAGGUCUGGAUGGGCAUGGUUGGGGGGGGGGGUGGAUACUAUUCAGCCCCAUAGACUCCGCCUGGGCCUAUACUGGGUUGUACUUUCUGUGCUCCCCCCCAUCCUCGGAGCAACCUGCGGCCACAGGCACAGCUAACAUUCCCACGGUGCCGAUGAGAGAGUAGGGGCUCAGAGCGGUUCAGUGGCAGGUGUCCGAGGUCACGCAGUUGGAGCAACAGUGAUGCUGUGAUUGGAACUCAGGGCAGCCUGACCCUGGAGCUGUCUGGCUCUGUGGAAACCUCUUGAAUGUCUGGCCCUCCAAGCACUGAACCCAAGAGCAGCCCAAGUGAGAAUCCUCUGGUUCACAAGCUCAUUUCUUUGGGCCACUUGUUUCUAGAGCCUCUUACUAAGCAGUUGGCCCUGACCAGCCCAUGUUGGGGGCACAAGGGAUGAAAAGUUUCUUUGGGCAAAUUUGUGGAGACAGCACAGAGUGGCGGGUGCUAGGAGGGCCUGCUAGGGGCUAUGACAUCUCCUCUGGGGUGAAGCGAUGUCCUGGAACAAGAUAGAGGUGGUGGCUGCACAACCUUGAAUGUGCUAACCUCACGGAAUUGUGCACUUUACCACACUUAAUUUUAUGUGACUUUUACCCAGGAUUUUUUUUCUGUCUUCAUAUUUUUCCUUUAUCUAAAAAUCUCACCACUAGGAGCACCUGGGUGGCUCAGUGGUUGAGCAUCUGCCUUUGGCUCAGGGUGUGAUCCCAGGGUCCUGGGAUUGAGUCCUGCUUCGGGCUCCUCGCGGAAGCCUGCUUCUCCCUCUGCCUGUGUCUUUGCCUCUGUGUCUCUUAUGAUUAAAUAAAUAAAAUCUUUAUAAGAAGUAAAAUAAAAUC